CUGAGGGUCCGCCCACGCGGCCCUGCUCUGUGCAGCUGCCGGCCGGGCAGGCGCCUGGGGUGGAAAUCAACCAUUCAUCUCCUUCUCCUAAGAGAAGUGUGACUCAGACGGCAAAGAGCAAGAGGAGCCCAGCUCAACCUUAUAAAACAUGCAGGGCAAGGCGAAGCACCUGUGAUCACAAACGGUGGAUAGGAUGUGGAAGAAGGAAGAAUAAACCAGGGGCGACUUGAAUUCUGGCAAGUGGUGAGAGGCUUUCCAGUCUGAAUCACCUACGAGGUAGAGAAUGUAGUAAAACCAUUCUGAACUGCUCUCACUCCCUCCAGCUGAGAGGCUCGGCAAGGGUCCCCUCCACACACUAAUCGCCAUCAUGCUUACCUCCUUCUGAAGUGGCCAACACUCAGGCCUCCUCCAGGUAAGAUGUUGGUUCCGAUGUGACGUGAAGUUCUAGGAGAUCAACCCUGGAGGGCAAUUUGAUGUAUUGUCUCGGAGGCCUCCAUGGGGUGUGCCCCCUGACCCAGAACUUCCAUGGCCAGAGGUUCAUCUGAAGGAAUAUCAUCUGUACAGAGCUUUUAAUUGUGAAA